rnacentral:rRNA from 1 species
AGUGAACGCUGGCGGCAGGCCUAACACAUGCAAGUCGAGCGGCAGCGCGGGGGCAACCCUGGCGGCGAGCGGCGGACGGGUGAGGAAUUCGUCGGAAUCUGCCUUUUUGUGGGGGAUAACGUAGGGAAACUUACGCUAAUACCGCAUACGUCCUACGGGAGAAAGUGGGGGACCGCAAAGCCUCACGCAGAAAGAUGAGCCGACGACCGAUUAGCUAGUUGGUGGGGUAAAGGCCCACCAAGGCGACGAUCGGUAGCUGGUCUGAGAGGAUGAUCAGCCACACUGGGACUGAGACACGGCCCAGACUCCUACGGGAGGCAGCAGUGGGGAAUAUUGGACAAUGGGCGCAAGCCUGAUCCAGCCAUGCCGCGUGUGUGAAGAAGGCCUUCGGGUUGUAAAGCACUUUUGUCCGGAAAGAAAUCCCUGGAGCUAAUACCUUCGGGGGAUGACGGUACCGGAAGAAUAAGCACCGGCUAACUUCGUG